CUUGUCCCCAUCUGUGUGUCCCUGAAGUGGGAAUAGUCUUGCUCUCUGCAGAGCUUUCUACGGCUGGCCCUGUAGAUGUGGCACAGGAGACCUCACCUUGGGUUGGCCUGCUUGGGAUUUGCUGAGGAACUUGUGCUGCCCACCUACAGAAAUGUGAAUUUGUUCAUUUCUCAUUGCCUCCUACGCUUGAGGACUCUUUGCUCUGUGCAUGGCAAGUACAAGAAAUAUGUGGACAAGAAUAUGAAUUUAUGAUUAAUGCAAGUGCUUGAAAAACAUGAUGCCUCAGUUGCAGAAAUGAGACUGGCCUCUGUGACCCUGGGCCUCUGAUUCAGAAAUAGUGUUGAUUUCCUGUGGUAAUUUUCUGUUUACAAUAUCUCUGUUGCUGUGCAACUGUGUCAAGAAGAG